AAUCCUCCCUGACAGGGGAGAUAACAUGAUCACAAAGGUGAUUUUCCCAGGGUGAGACUUAUCCAUUGCACUCCAAAUGCGCUGACCCCUGCGAUUUCCCCAAAUAUGUUGUGCUGGCAUGUUUAUAACCAAUAAUUGAUUAUUGGUAACUUAUUGUG